rnacentral:rRNA from 1 species
CCUACGGGAGGCUGCAGUGGGGGAUAUUGCACAAUGGGGGGAACCCUGAUGCAGCGACGCCGCGUGGGUGAAGGAGCGUUUCGGCGCGUAAAGCCCUAUCGGCAGGGAAGAAGAUGACGGUACCUGGCCAAGAAGCCCCGGCUAACUACGUGCCAGCAGCCGCGGUAAUACGUAGGGGGCAAGCGUUAUCCGGAUUUACUGGGCGUAAAGGGGGCGCAGGCGGGAAUGCAAGCCAGGUGUGAAAGCCCGGGGCCUAACCCCGGGACUGCACUUGGAACUGCAUGGCUGGAGUACAGGAGGGGCAGGCGGAAUUCCUGGUGUAGCGGUGAAAUGCGUAGAUAUUAGGAGGAACACCGGUGGCGAAGGCGGCCUGCUGGACUGUGACUGACGUUGAGGCCCGAAGGCGUGGGGAGCAAACAGGAUUAGAUACCCCUGUAGUC